rnacentral:rRNA from 2 species
GGACUACCCGGGUAUCUAAUCCUGUUUGCUCCCCACGCUUUCGUGCCUCAGUGUCAGUGCUGGUCCAGGUAGCCGCCUUCGCCACUGGUGUUCCUCCCGAUCUCUACGCAUUUCACCGCUACACCGGGAAUUCCACUACCCUCUACCGCACUCUAGCCUCCCAGUAUCCACUGCCAUUCCCAGGUUGAGCCCGGGGAUUUCACAACGGACUUAAGAGACCACCUACGCACGCUUUACGCCCAGUAAUUCCGAGUAACGCUUGCACCCUUCGUAUUACCGCGGCGGCUGGCAC